CCUACGGGUCGCACCAGUGGGGAAUUUUCCGCAAUGGGCGAAAGCCUGACGGAGCAAUGCCGCGUGUGUGAAGAAGGUCUUCGGAUUGUAAAGCACUUUCGACGGGGACGAUGAUGACGGUACCCGUAGAAGAAGCCCCGGCCAACUUCGUGCCAGCAGCCGCGGUAAUACGAAGGGGGCUAGCGUUGCUCGGAAUGACUGGGCGUAAAGGGCGCGUAGGCGGUUUAUGCAGUCAGAUGUGAAAUCCCCGGGCUUAACCUGGGAACUGCAUUUGAGACGCAUAGACUAGAGGUCGAGAGAGGGUUGUGGAAUUCCCAGUGUAGAGGUGAAAUUCGUAGAUAUUGGGAAGAACACCGGUGGCGAAGGCGGCAACCUGGCUCGAUACUGACGCUGAGGCGCGAAAGCGUGGGGAGCAAACAGGAUUAGAUACCUUAGUC
rnacentral:rRNA from 1 species